UCCAAUCGAACUCGGAGAUAGCUGGUUCUCCCCGAAAUAGCUUUAGGGCUAGCCUCAUGUUAGAUAUCCGGAGGUAAAGCACUGAAUGGCCUAGCGUCCGAGAGGAUAGCGAAGCCUAUCAAACUAAGAAUGCCGGAAUAUUGAUGCAUGGGAGUCAGACAGUGUGAGAUAAAUCUCAUUGUCAAAAGGGAAACAGCCCAGAUCUACAGCUAAGGUCCCAAAUUGUAUCUAAGUGGAAAACGAUGUGGAAAUACGCAGACAACCAGGAUGUUGGCUCAGAAGCAGCCACUCAUUUAAAGAGUGCGUAAUAGCUCACUGGUCGAGCGUCUCUGCGCGGAAAAUUUAACGGGGCUAAGAUACAAACCGAAGCUUAGGCUGCACUUUUAGUGCGGGGUAGGGGAGCGUUGUGUAAGCGGAGAAACGAUAGCGUAAGCGGUCGUGGAGUUUACAGAAGUGAGAAUGCCGGAAUGAGUAGCGCGAAUGAUGUGAGAAUCAUCAUGGCCGGAAACCUCAGGUUUUUGGAGGAAGGUUCGUCCGCUCCAAGUUAGGCGGGAGCUAAGGUGAGGCCGAAAGGCGUAGCCGAUGCACAGACGGUAGAGAUUCCGUCCCCACCGAAAGAUUUAAGCGCAGGGACACUUUUAGAAGGUCGGAGCCAGGUGUUGGUUCUGGUAGAGAUCGAGGGAAGAUUAGUACCGAAGUCCGGCUGGAUAAGAGGCGAGAAAAGCUGCGUGUAUAUCUAAGGUGCCCGUACCGCAAACCGACACAGGUAGGUAGGAAGAAGAUUCUAAGGCCAACGGGAGAAGGGUUGUUAAGGAACUCGGCAAGUUGACCCCGUAACUUCGGAAUAAGGGGUGCUCAUGAAAGUGAGCCGCAGAGAAUAGGCCCAGGCAACUGUUUACCAAAAACACAGGUUUGUGCUAAAUCGAAAGAUGACGUAUACGAGCUGACGCCUGCCCGGUGCUGGAAGGUUAAAAGGAGAUGUGCAAGCAUUGAAUUGAAGCCCCAGUGAACGGCGGCCGUAACUAUAACGGUCCUAAGGUAGCGAAAUUCCUUGUCAGGUAAGUUCUGACCCGCAUGAAAGGCGUAAUGAUCUGGGCACUGUCUCAACAGCCCGCCCGGCGAAAUUGUAGUACCGGUGAAGAUGCCGGUUACCCGCGACAAGACGGAAAGACCCCAUGGAGCUUUACUGUAGCCUAAUAUUGGGUUUCGAUGUUGCAUGCACAGGAUAGAUGGGACACUGGGAAACAAGUGCUUUGGCAUUUGUGGAGUGGCCGUUGGGAUACCAUCCUUGCGAUAUUGGAAUUCUAACCUGCGCCUUUGAAUCAAGGCGGGGGACAUUGUUAGGUGGGCAGUUUGACUGGGGCGGUCGCCUCCUAAAGAGUAGCGGAGGCGUUCAAAGGUUGGCUCGUCCUGGACGGAAACCAGGAGAGAGAGUGCAAACGCAAAAGCCAGCCUGACUGCGAGACUGACGGGUCGAGCAGAGACGAAAGUCGGAGUUAGUGAUCCGGUGGUAUGUGAGUGGAAAUGCCAUCGCUCAACGGAUAAAAGCUACCCUGGGGAUAACAGGCUGAUCUCCCCCAAGAGU
rnacentral:rRNA from 1 species